UAUAUCUUUAUUUUAAAAAUCUUUAUGAUCAACCCAUGCAUAAUAGAGGACUUAAGACCCUAUAAAUUGUGCAUUAAUGUUAAUUAGUAUUCAACUUUCAUCCAAGUUAUCCAACCAAAAAUCUGAAGAGGGUAUAAGUGAAAAUAUGGGUGGACCUUGUGUGAGAAGAAGUGUGUUGCUGAUAAUGAUUUUGAAUAUUGUAGUACUUGUAGUGCAGGCUGAUGAUCCUCCCGCUCCCUAUCUCCCUCCGCCCUCUUCCGUUUUAACUGUGCCUCAAUUUCCCCCUCCCUUCUCUCAACAAGAUGACUGGUAUGACUGUUGGCGUAAGUGGCUCAUGCGUUGCAAAAAAAUCACAAGUCAUUACAAGUUGACUACUAGAGAUCGUGAGUACAAACGUUGUGCGCGUCUCAUAAGAAAACUCUGCAAAGUUCCCUAAGAUCAUAUAUCGUUCUGCUGUUAAUUUGAAACAGGGAAAGCAAAAGAUUACGUGGAAACGGGCUUCAACAAUUUCAAUAAGAAUUAAUACUAGCUUAAUGUUAUUUAGAAGACUAUACGUCUUCCUAGUUAUGUUUUUUUUUUUUUUUUUUUUUUUUGGUACCAUCUUCUUAGUUGUAUGUUAAUCGUAUUACAGCUAGUAUAUUAAAUAAAAUUUCUCUA